GACGUAGGGCGCGAGCGUUGUCCGGAUUUAUUGGGCGUAAAGAGCUCGUAGGCGGUGUGUCACGUCGGCCGUGAAAACCUGCAGCUUAACUGAGGGCGUGCGGUCGAUACGGGCAUCACUGGAGUUCGGCAGGGGAGACUGGAAUUCCUGGUGUAGCGGUGAAAUGCGCAGAUAUCAGGAGGAACACCGGUGGCGAAGGCGGGUCUCUGGGCCGAUACUGACGCUGAGGAGCGAAAGCGUGGGGAGCAAACAGG
rnacentral:rRNA from 1 species